rnacentral:lncRNA from 1 species
UUUUUUUUUUUUUUUUUUUUUUCUUUUUUGGCUGCCCCACAGCAUAUGGAGUUCCUGGGCCAGGGAUCAGAUCCAAUCUGCAGUUGGGACCUAAGCUGCAGCUGUGGCAAUGCCAGAUCCUUAACCCAUUGUGCCAGGCUGGGGACUGAACCUGCAUCCCAGCGCUUCCAAGACGCCACUGAUUCCCAUUACGCCGCAGCAGGAACUCCAGAAUUUCUUUGUUUUAUGAGUAUUUUUAUUUUUGGAUUGGCAGUUCCUCUUUAGUUUUAUUCAUUACUUUUUUUUUUUUUUUCCCUUCUGGAGCAAGGGAGGGAUGGGGAGUUAUGGAUUAACAGGUACAGAGUUUUGGUUUGAGAUGAUGAAAAAGUUGUGAGGGCGAUGAUGUUUGCACAAUCAUGUGAAUGCACUUAAUGCCAUUGAACUGUGCACUUAAAAAUGAUUAAAAUGGUAAAUUUUAUGUUGUGUGUAUUUUACCACGAUGAAAAUUUCUAAAUUUUUUUUCUAUUCUUGUGUAUUGUUGGUGUAUUCUUUCUUCCAGUUCAAGCUGAGAAUCAGCUUCUCGAAUUCCAUAAAAUGUUCCUUUGAUAUUUUGAUUGAAUUACAUUAAAUUUAUAGGUUACUCAGGGGAGAAGUGACAUCUUUAUAAUACUGAGUCUUUCCCUCCGGGAGUGUGGUUUGUCUCUCCAGUUAUUCAGAUCUCCUUUUAUGUCCUUCAGUAAAGUUUGAUAAUUCUAUUCGCAUCAGCUUGUUCCUAGAUAUAUGGUGGCUUUAGUUGCCACUGCGAGUAGAAUCGUGAGGGUAGCACAGGGCUGUCACUCAGGUCCAGUCCCCAGCCCGGCCCCUGGGAUGAAUGAGUGGGUCUAAAAGACACAUGAGACAGGAAGUAAAAAUUGCAGGAGUCAUUUCACCAAAAGCCUCUGCAGCAGGUGGAUCCAAGCGAGCUGAGCUGCAGAGGUGGCCAGGGCAAGAGGAGGGACGACCUUCAGGAUCAGAGAAACCUGAGCUUGUCCUCAUUGGGGUCAGGAAGAGGGAGAAACGGAGCUGCUGGAGGCCAGGGCGGAUGCCCGACAUUCAUGCUGAUGUAGAUGAAAUGCCUCUUUCAUUCUGCAGAGCAGAUUGUGGCCUUGGAGCCAAGAAACCCGAGUGUGCGCCCUGACUCUGUCACUCACUAACUGUGAGUGUGGCCUUGGGCCCGUUGCCUAGGUUCUUAGAAACCCAGGGUCCUCGAGAGCAAAAUAAGGGUGAAUUCUAAUGAUAUAUUGAGUGGUUUAAUGAUUUGUCUGUGCCCCACUGGGCUGCGACUCCACACGGGCAGGAUCUGUCUGGGUUUAAUUCACAAACGUGUGGGCUGCUGCUCUAGCCCACCCAGUGCUUUCCAGGGAAUUCCACGAAGGCAGCCUUUUGAACAGACACAGCUCUGUCAGCCCCCGGCUUGGUGAUUGGUCUGCGAGCUGCAUCUCAGCCCCCCACGUGUCCCUGUACUCUGCGCCCUUGUGUAUAGUGACCUGCCCUGGGUGUGUAGUUAAUGUUUAGCCUGGGCCUGGCUCACGGGAGGCACUCCAGAAAUUUAUUUAUUGAUUUAUUUUGCUUUUAGGGCCACAUCAAUGGCAUGUGGAAUUUCCUAGGUGAAGGGGUCGAGUUGGAACUGUGACUGCUGGUCUAUGCCACAGCCACAGCAAGGCGGCGUCUGAGACCUACACCGCAGCUCACAGCAAUGCUGGUUCCUUAACCCACUGAGGGAGGCCAGGGAUGGAACCCACAUCCUCAUGAAUAGUAAUCAGGUUCGUAAUCUGCUGAGCCUCAGUGGGAACUCCCAGAAAUUUAUUAAGUUGAUGUGGGAUUUGGAGAGAAGGGGCUGAGGGAGCCCCUGAGGGGGUCUCAUUACUGUUCAAAAGGAAGUUCUCUCCUUCCAGGUGCCAAAUAACAGAAUUUAUUUCUGCAGGGGCUCGGGAUGGCAUCUACCAGCACCCAGGGUGGGGCCCUUACAGGAAUGAGCCAAUCUGAUGAUCUGGUGAGAUGGAUGGCCCAGGGCUUACUUGCAUGAGGCAUUGGGAGCCUCCAAGAAGCAGCUUCCCUUGGGGAGAAGGGAGCCUGACUUGGUAAUGAAAUCUUGAGCAGUCCAGGGAAAUAGAGAAAAAGAGUUAACUGGGGAGGGAGGGGAAAGAAGCGGUGACCUGAAGGAUGAGGAGGAGCCAGACACAGGAAGAGCAGAGAAGAGCAUUCUAGACAAGGGGACAGCAUGUGCAAAAUCCUGAGGCUAGAGAGAGGGUGCUUGGCUUGUUUGGGGAGUCGAGUACUGGCCAAAGUGGUUGGUCCCUCUUGUUAUAGAAUCUUAACUAACUAGGUGCCUUUUGGGUUUUCCUGCAAUCCUCCUCCUCUGUGUGAACUUUGUGAAAUUCAACUAACUGAGUCGCAUCCUCCCUACCCCACGGUGUCCCCAGCAUGUAUUUUGUCUCUUAGCACAACCAGCCUGGGAGUUGGUAGAGCCAUUCCAUCAAGAUAAAAAUGAACCCCAGCUCCACUGUGUAUCAGCUGUGGACUGUGUCAUCUCCUCCUUCUCCACCUGUAAAAUGGGCAUAAGAAUACAGAUCUUACCAACUUGUGGGGGAAGUUCUGCCCUCAAUUAUACAGGCCACUAGUGGAAGAACAAAGGAAAGAUAAUUAAAAAUCCUGAGAAAAACGUAAAGAAGCAGAAGUAAAGAAAUAUGCAAGUUCACUCCUCGACUCAGCAAUGAACAAUAUUUAGAUGGUCACAAUCUUCCUUAAGUUUCACUUCUUUUUCUUCUCUCUGCACAGGCCAGAACUUAAAUACAACAUAGACUAGAAGCAGUGACAGUGGGCCACGUUGACGUGUUCCUGAUUUUCAAAGGAAUGGUUAGAAUGUGCACCAUCCGGUGUGAAAGCUAGCUGAAGACACUGUGGGAAUGGUGAAAUCUGAAUCCUCGCAGAACCUCUGAUCCUUUUCUUCUUGCAACUAAACACUGGUUCUCAUGCUUUAACCAUUCCAGGACUCCACAUUGCCUAUGGGACAAAGUUUAAACCU